rnacentral:rRNA from 1 species
UACGGAGGGAGCUAGCGUUGUUCGGAAUUACUGGGCGUAAAGCGUGCGUAGGCGGCUAUUCAAGUCAGAGGUGAAAGCCUGGAGCUCAACUCCAGAACUGCCUUUGAAACUAGAUAGCUAGAAUCUUGGAGAGGUUAGUGGAAUUCCGAGUGUAGAGGUGAAAUUCGUAGAUAUUCGGAAGAACACCAGUGGCGAAGGCGACUAACUGGACAAGUAUUGACGCUGAGGUACGAAAGCGUGGGGAGCAAACAGG